GAUGAACGCUGGCGGCGUGCCUAAUACAUGCAAGUCGAGCGAACAGACGAGGAGCUUGCUCCUCUGACGUUAGCGGCGGACGGGUGAGUAACACGUGGAUAACCUACCUAUAAGACUGGGAUAACUUCGGGAAACCGGAGCUAAUACCGGAUAAUAUAUUGAACCGCAUGGUUCAAUAGUGAAAGACGGUUUUGCUGUCACUUAUAGAUGGAUCCGCGCCGCAUUAGCUAGUUGGUAAGGUAACGGCUUACCAAGGCAACGAUGCGUAGCCGACCUGAGAGGGGGAUCGGCCACACUGGAGCUGAGAAACGGUCCAGACUCCUACGGGAGGCAGAAGUAGGGAAUCUUCCGCAAGGGGCGAAAGCCUGACGGAGCAACGCCGCGUGAGUGAUGAAGGUCUUCGGAUCGUAAAACUCUGUUAUUAGGGAAGAACAAAUGUGUAAGUAACUAUGCACGUCUUGACGGAACCUAAUCAGAAAGCCACGGCUAACUACGU
rnacentral:rRNA from 1 species